rnacentral:lncRNA from 1 species
GCUCCCGCAAACACAGCAGCUCCUUCCACCUUCACAGUAAGGUUUGGCCACGUGGAGAAAAACGCCUAAGGGUCUCGUAAUUGGUCCCUGGGUUUUCCAUAACUCAACAGCAGUGCCUUUAAUAACAAGAGUGGACUCAUCUUGUCAGCUAUUCAUGAGGAAUAUUCAAGAAAGAGAACACAAAGGCAUAGGAACCAGGCAGAAAACAAAACAAAACAAAACAAAACAAAACAAAAACCCGAUGAGCACAGCCAAGGAGAACAGAGUGAACUUUAUGAAAUCUCAAGCAGGAGUCCACAGGAUGCAUAUGAGAGGAACAAUGGGGAUAUAAUUAGAAUCCUUUGGGGAAUAAUUUAUGUCAAUUCGGAGAACAGAAAUUAAAAUAACUUCAAGGCUUUAAGCUUAACUGACUAAUAGAAUGUAGUGCCUUCAAAUUAAGGGAAAAAAGGCGAAUGGGAAGAGAUUUAGAAAACUGGGAUAUGUUUUGGAGGAGGGAAGAGAAAAUGGGCAACGGGCAUAAUUCCAGGGUGGAAAAUAUUUAACGUGUACCGGAGAAAAGGGUGACCGUAGUGGCUAUUUGUGUGUGUGUUUCUACGGGAGACUGGUUUAAGAAGAGGCACAAAAGUUAGAGAAGAUGGAUCAAAAAAUUGCAAAAGCGUGUCUGUUCGAGCCCAGCCACGACUUAGGAAGCCUUGUCUGCAGUAAAAGCCUAUUGGUCCACUGGCAAUAUUUUGGAGAACCUGGACUGGCCACUAAAUGUCCACGCGCUUGGAGCCUUUGGUUUCUUGAGAGAAAUGGAGAAAGAAAGGGGCCACGAGGCACCUGAUGCCCCAGUAUGUUGAUGUGUAGUUCUCAGAACUCUAGACAGCUUCCUGGCUACUGGUUCCUGUGGUUCUGAUCCUCCCUCGGUGUAGACUCAUCCAGCAGACAGCCUCGGAGGGUUACAAUCCGGGAGUCAGCAGGAGCCGAGGUCUCGUCGGAAGCGGGACUGGGGGAGGGUCUGCUUUCAGACGCAGUGCUUGUGGUCCCAUUCGGUUCCCUGGGUGUCCCGGGGAGGGCGUCCCCAACUCUUGCAUCACUUCCGUGACCAGGAGGCCCCAGAGCAGCGGAGCGAGGAGGAAGGACCCAGGGCACAGAUACUCCCACUGCCCCAACCCAGAGCCCGUCAACUGCCCGACACACAGCGAGCCCAUCUAAGAAAACAGGCCCCGGAGUCCAGUCUUAAUCCCACCCCCAAAGCCAUGAGCUAAGUAAAAACAUAGAUGUGAAGCCACCGGUCUGAGGCAGCUUGUUAAGGCAAUGUCGCUUUGUCGAAUAAAACUGAUGCACUUAUUAUUAAUCCUUCUCA